rnacentral:lncRNA from 1 species
AUCACCUUUAAACCUUUUGCUUUCAAAUUUUGACUCAAUAAUAGAGAUGUCUCUUAUCAACUAGUAACACUCUCCGUCAAUAAAUGAAAUUUUUGGCAUGAAUAACAUAUUAAGAUUAAAAAAAAUAAAAAAAAUCUUAAACAUCUUACUAAUUGCUACAAGCAAGCUUGAUAUGUACAGCUGCGAAAUUGAGUUGCAGUGUCCACCGCCCGCCAAAAAAAAUUAAUGUACAGAUGUAACUCAAUAACUUGUUUAGAUGCCACCUGAACCUGCAAACAAACAAUAUAACGAGAUAAAAAGGCAGUAUAUUUUCUCAGGUUUAAUUGAACAUUACGAUUUCCCCCUCUACGUUUACAAAAAUCCAUCUCAAGUAGCUCAACAUUAUUUGCUUACAAGACUCCACUUGAGUCUUUUGCUCAUAGAGUAGGCAAGUAGAUUAGUAGAAUAGAAGUCUCAUGUCUGUUAUUUUCAAUAACAUUUGUUCAAUCCUCCUUGGCAGAAUUCAACAGGUACAUAUAAUGUUGGAUCUCAAGUAUUUAUGGGAUAUAGGACUUGGUGCCUAGUAGAGUAUACAAAAAUCUUGGUAGGAUAGGAUCAAAAGGGUUAAUGGAAAUCUAUUACACAAUAAUAUGAUCACGUAAAACCGAUGUGUAAUUUCUAAUAAACAAGGAUCCUGUCAAUUUCCAGAGAAAUAAUUACACAAAAACAUUAUACUAAGCAGACACGUCUCUCAGUACUGAAUCUUGAUAUCAUAUUGCAAUGAGCGGUCUGACUAUGAGACUUGAAGACCUAGGGAAAACAGAGGUGGUUGGCAGGAUCUUUCUAAUUAACUUUUGGGAGUGGAUGAUCAGAUAACCUGUACGCAACUUUUGGGGAAUGUAUGUGGGUGGGUCUUCAACUGAAACUUCAUCCAUGAAAUUUCCACGGUAAAGCCUCGAAUGAUAAAGGAAGAAACCAAUCAAAAUCACCCAGCUGCAGAAAGAGAAUAAACAGGCCACCAAUAACUGAAGAGCGACACAACAUUUAAUUGGUGAAUAAGUUGUCAAACUGCACUACCAUGCCAUUCUGUAAAAUUUUGAACACUAGAGUAUAUAAGGUACAAAUAAAACAGCAACAAUGCAAAUCAAGGGA